AGUGGGGUGGCGCAGCUGGUUAGCGCACAAGGGUCAUUGCCUUGAGGUCGCGGGUUCGAGUCCCGCCCCCGCAA
rnacentral:tRNA from 1 species